rnacentral:rRNA from 1 species
AAAUGAAUUGACGGGGACCCGCACAAGCGGUGGAGCAUGUGGUUUAAUUCGAAGCAACGCGAAGAACCUUACCAAAUCUUGACAUCCUUCUGACGUAUCCGUAAUGGGAUAUUCCCUUCGGGGCAGGAGAGACAGGUGGUGCAUGGUUGUCGUCAGCUCGUGUCGUGAGAUGUUGGGUUAAGUCCCGCAACGAGCGCAACCCUUAUUUUUAGUAGCCAGCAGUAAGAUGGGCACUCUAGAGAGACUGCCGGGGAUAACCCGGAGGAAGGUGGGGAUGACGUCAAAUCAUCAUGCCCCUUAUGAUUUGGGCUACACACGUGCUACAAUGGCGUAAACAGAGGGAGGCGAAAGGGUGACCUGAAGCAAAUCCCAAAAAUAACGUCUCAGUUCGGAUUGUAGUCUGCAACUCGACUACAUGAAGCUGGAAUCGCUAGUAAUCGCGAAUCAGAAUGUCGCGGUGAAUACGUUCCCGGGUCUUGUACACACCGCCCGU